UGGGGAAUAUUGCACAAUGGGCGCAAGCCUGAUGCAGCCAUGCCGCGUGUGUGAAGAAGGCCUUCGGGUUGUAAAGCACUUUCAGCGAGGAAGGAAGGUGGUGAACUUAAUACGUUCAUCAAUUGACGUUACUCGCAGAAGAAGCACCGGCUAACUCCGUGCCAGCAGCCGCGGUAAUACGGAGGGUGCAAGUGUUAAUCGGAAUUACUGGGCGUAAAGCGCACGCAGGCGGUUUGUUAAGUCAGAUGUGAAAUCCCCGGGCUCAACCUGGGAACUGCAUUUGAAACUGGCAAGCUAGAGUCUCGUAGAGGGGGGUAGAAUUCCAGGUGUAGCGGUGAAAUGCGUAGAGAUCUGGAGGAAUACCGGUGGCGAAGGCGGCCCCCUGGACGAAGACUGACGCUCAGGUGCGAAAGCGUGGGGAGCAAACAGGAUUAGAUACCCUGGUAGUCCACGCUGUAAAACGAUGUCGAUUUUGGAGGUUGUGCCCCUUGAGGCGUGGCUUCCGGAGCUAACGCGUUAAAUCGA
rnacentral:rRNA from 1 species